AAUGUCGGCCGUAACUAUAACGGUCCUAAGGUAGCGAAAUUCCUUGUCGGGUAAGUUCCGACCUGCACGAAUGGUGUAACGAUCUGGGCACUGUCUCAGCCAUGAGCUCGGUGAAAUUGUAGUAUCGGUGAAGAUGCCGAUUACCCGCAACGGGACGGAAAGACCCCGUGAACCUUUACUAUAGCUUCACAGUGGACUUUGAAUUUAUUUGUGUAGGAUAGGUGGGAGACUUUGAAAUGUUGGCGCCAGCUGGCAUGGAGUCGUCCUUGAAAUACCACCCUGGUAACGUUGAGGUUCUAACUUAGACCCCUGAUCGGGGUUGAGGACAGUGUGUGGUGGGUAGUUUGACUGGGGCGGUCUCCUCCCAAAG
rnacentral:rRNA from 1 species